AUUGAACGCUGGCGGCAGGCCUAACACAUGCAAGUCGAGCGGUAACAGGGAGUAGCUUGCUACUCCGCUGACGAGCGGCGGACGGGUGAGUAAUGUCUGGGGAUCUGCCUGAUGGAGGGGGAUAACUACUGGAAACGGUAGCUAAUACCGCAUAACGUCGCAAGACCAAAGAGGGGGACCUUCGGGCCUCUUGCCAUCGGAUGAACCCAGAUGGGAUUAGCUAGUAGGUGGGGUAAUGGCUCACCUAGGCGACGAUCCCUAGCUGGUCUGAGAGGAUGACCAGCCACACUGGAACUGAGACACGGUCCAGACUCCUACGGGAGGCAGCAGUGGGGAAUAUUGCACAAUGGGCGCAAGCCUGAUGCAGCCAUGCCGCGUGUGUGAAGAAGGCCUUCGGGUUGUAAAGCACUUUCAGCGAGGAGGAAGGCAUUAAGGUUAAUAACCUUGGUGAUUGACGUUACUCGCAGAAGAAGCACCGGCUAACUCCGUGCCAGCAGCCGCGGUAAUACGGAGGGUGCAAGCGUUAAUCGGAAUUACUGGGCGUAAAGCGCACGCAGGCGGUUUGUUAAGUCGGAUGUGAAAUCCCCGGGCUCAACCUGGGAACUGCAUUCGAAACUGGCAAGCUUGAGUCUUGUAGAGGGGGGUAGAAUUCCAGGUGUAGCGGUGAAAUGCGUAGAGAUCUGGAGGAAUACCGGUGGCGAAGGCGGCCCCCUGGACAAAGACUGACGCUCAGG
rnacentral:rRNA from 1 species